rnacentral:rRNA from 1 species
AAUUUUUGGUUAAGUUACUAAGAGCAUACGGCGGAUGCCUUGGCACAAGAAGUCGAUGAAGGACGCGGUUACCUGCGAUAAACCACGGCGAGGUGGAAACAACCUAAGAUCCGUGGGUCUCCGAAUGGGGAAACCCUCCUCGAGUAAUAUUGAGGAACUGCCAUUUGAAUAGAUAGAAUGGCUAGAGACAACCCAGCGAAGUGAAACAUCUCAGUAGCUGGUGGAAAAGAAAACAAAUGUGAUUUCCUUAGUAGUGGCGAGCGAAAAGGAAACAGCCUAAACUAUCCAACAUGUUAAAGCCUGCAAGCCUUGUGUUGGUAGUGUUGUGGGAAUUAGUUUGAUCUAAUUGCAGUAUGAUCGAAGAGUCAAAAAUUAAAGAGAUAAUCGAAUCACUUGGAAAGGUGAACCACAGAAAGUGAAAGUCUUGUAGGUGAAAUCUUUUUAACUCUUUGAACUAGUCUCCCAAGUACCACGGAGUAAGUGGAAGUCUGUGGGAAUCUGCCAGAACCAUCUGGUAAGGCUAAAUACUCUCUUGUGACCGAUAGUGAACCAGUACCGUGAGGGAAAGGUGAAAAGCACCCUUAAGAAGGGGGUGAAAUAGUACCUGAAACCGUAUGCUUACAAACGGUUGGAGUCCCGAUUUAUCGGGAUGACAGCGUGCCUUUUGGAUAAUGAGCCAACGAGUUACUCGUACGUUGCAAGGUUAAUCCCUUAAGGGGAGUAGCCGAAGCGAAAGCAAGUUCGAAAUGAGCGAUUUAAGUAACGUGCGGUAGACGCGAAACCGUGUGAUCUACCGUUGACCAGGAUGAAGCCCCGGUAAAACGGGGUGGAGGUCCGAACUGAUGUGGGUUGAAAACCGCUCGGAUGAGUUGACGGUAGGAGCGAAAGACCAAUCAAACUCGGUUAUAGCUCGUACUCCUCGAAAUAGCUUUAGGGCUAGCCUCGUAUAUAGUGUUAUGGAGGUAGAGCACUGAUUGGGCUAGGGCCGUCACAACGGUACCAAACCCAGACAAACUCCGAAUUCCAUUAACAUGUUUUGCGGGAGUCAGGCAGUGGGGGAUAAGCUUCAUUGCCAAGAGGGGAACAACCCAGACCGUCGGCUAAGGUCCCCAAAUUCCAGUUAACAGAGAAAGGAUGUUAAGUUGCUCAGACAACUAGGAUGUUGGCUUAGAAGCAGCCAUUCAUUUAAAGAGUGCGUAAUAGCUCACUAGUCUAGCGACUUGGCGUCGACAAUACUCGGGACUAAAACUGGAUACCGAAGCUGCGGAUUCUCCGUUUAUCGGAGAGUGGUAGAGGAGCAUUCUAUAUGGGAAUCUGGAACAGAUAUCCCGCCUUCGGCGGGAUGAAGGUGUGGUGCGAGCCAUGCUGAACCGUAUAGAAAAGCAAAUGUUGGCAUAAGUAACGAUAAAACAGAUGAAAAAUCUGUUCACCGAAAGUCUAAGGUUUCCUGAGCAACGUUAAUCGUCUCAGGGUUAGUCGGACCCUAAGCCGAGGCCGAAAGGCGUAGGUGAUGGGAAACAGGUCAAUAUUCCUGUACCUGGUAAGUUUUGUUUAACUUUAAGGGGUGACGCAGGAGUGAAAGGUCAGCCACCUGUUGGAUUAGGUGGUCUAAGUGUGUAGGCGGGGAAUGCAGGCAAAUCCGCAUUCUCUUAACGCUGAGGCACGAACGGGAGUCCGCAAGGACACAAACUGACACUAAACAUGCUGCCAAGAAAAACCUCGUAAAGGAGAAAUUUAUCAGACCGUACCGCAAACCGACACAGGUAGACGAGAUGAGUAUUCUAAGGUGCUCGAGUGAGCCGUGGUUAAGGAACUCGGCAAAUUAACCCCGUAACUUCGGAAUAAGGGGUGUCCUGAUUGGUAUAAGAUUUACGCGAAAGCUAAUCGGGAUCGCAGUGAAAUGGGCCAAGCGACUGUUUAACAAAAACACAGGUCUCUGCGAAGUCAAUCAAGACGAUGUAUAGGGACUGACACCUGCCCGGUGCUGGAAGGUUAAGGGAAGAGGUUAUGCCGACUUGUCGGCAGAAGCUUUGAACCGAAGCCCCAGUAAACGGCGGCCGUAACUAUAACGGUCCUAAGGUAGCGAAAUUCCUUGUCGGGUAAGUUCCGACCUGCACGAAUGGUGUAACGAUUUGGUCACUGUCUCAACCACGGGCUCGGUGAAAUUGUGGUACCGGUGAAGACGCCGGUUACCCGCAUAUGGACGGAAAGACCCCGUGCACCUUUACUGCACCCUAACAUUGGGUUUGAGUAAAGCAUGUGUAGGAUAGGUGGGAGACUUUGAAGUGGCGCCGCUAGGCGUCAUGGAGUCAACGGUGAAAUACCACCCUUGUUUUAUUUGAAUUCUAACCUCGGUCCUUGAAUCAGGAUCAGGAACAGUGUUAGGCGGGUAGUUUGACUGGGGCGGUCGCCUCCUAAAAUGUAACGGAGGCUCCCAAAGGUACCCUCAGCAUGGUCGGUAAUCAUGCGUCGAGUGUAAAGACAUAAGGGUGCUUAACUGCGAGACCUACAAGUCGAGCAGGUGCGAAAGCAGGGCUUAGUGAUCCGACGGUAGCGAGUGGAAGUGCCGUCGCUCAAAGGAUAAAAGGUACGCCGGGGAUAACAGGCUGAUCUUACCCAAGAGUUCAUAUCGACGGUAAGGUUUGGCACCUCGAUGUCGGCUCAUCGCAUCCUGGGGCUGAAGAAGGUCCCAAGGGUUUGGCUGUUCGCCAAUUAAAGCGGUACGUGAGCUGGGUUCAGAACGUCGUGAGACAGUUCGGUCCCUAUCCUAUGCGGGCGCAGGAUAUUUGAGAAGAGUCGCUCUUAGUACGAGAGGACCGGAGUGAACGAACCUCUAGUGCACCAGUUGUCGCGCCAGCGGCAUCGCUGGGUAGCUAUGUUCGGUUGUGAUAAGCGCUGAAAGCAUCUAAGCGCGAAACACACUUCAAGAUUAGAUAUCCCCUUCCCCGAUUUUUCGGGGAACUAAAGACUCCAAGGAGAUUACUUGGUCGAUAGGCUGCAGGUGUAAGUAUAGUAAUAUAUUUAGCCGAGCAGUACUAAUAAGUCGUGCGACUUAACCUAUAUUUUUAUU